AACGCACAUUGCGCCUCUCUCUCGAGAGGCAUGCCUGUCUGAGCGUCGUUAAAACCUAAAUAGAAUCCAAUUGGGUUCUGUAUUGGGCGACUCGCCCCUUUGGGCGUCGCCUCAAAGACAUUGGUCUGAUUAGCGGGUGGGUUCCUCUAGGACAAGCCGCUUUUCAAGCUAAAAAUUCUUUAAAUUAGACCUCAGAUCAGGUAGGAAUACCGCCUGAACUUAA
rnacentral:misc_RNA from 1 species